rnacentral:rRNA from 1 species
AACGCACCUUGCGCUCCUGGGCUAUUCCUAGGAGCAUGCCUGUUUGAGUGUCGUGAAAUCAUCAACCCCAGUUGGAUUUGAAAUUUGACUGGUGGCCUGGACUUGGGGGUUUGCUGGCCUCUUGCCUCCCUUGCCGGGGGCUUGAGGGGGGUCGACUCCUCUGGAAUGCAUUAGCUCGAGGUUGGCUUCGGGCGGUCCGUGGCGUGAUAGGUUUUUGUUACGUCUCGAUAAUUCCGUCUCGGAGCCGUGUGGCUUCGGCUUCGAAUCGUCCCUCUUGGGGGACUGACUCCAUCUUGAAUCUGACCUCAAAUCAGGCAGGACUACCCGCUGAACUUAA